rnacentral:ribozyme from 14 species
UUUUUUUUUUUUUUUUCUUUUUUUUUUUUUUUUUUUUUUUUCGCGUCAUGUUU